rnacentral:rRNA from 1 species
AUUGAACGCUGGCGGCAUGCCUUACACAUGCAAGUCGAACGGUAACGGGCCUUCGGGUGCCGACGAGUGGCGAACGGGUGAGUAAUGUAUCGGAACGUACCUUUCAGUGGGGGAUAACGUAGCGAAAGUUACGCUAAUACCGCAUAUUCUGUGAGCAGGAAAGCAGGGGAUCGCAAGACCUUGCGCUGAUUGAGCGGCCGAUGUCAGAUUAGCUAGUUGGUGAGGUAAAGGCUCACCAAGGCGACGAUCUGUAGCGGGUCUGAGAGGAUGAUCCUCCACACUGGAACUGAGGCACGGUCGAGACUCCUACGAGAGGCAGCAGUGGGGAAUUUUGGACAAUGGGGGCAACCCUGAUCCAGCCAUGCCGCGUGAGUGAAGAAGGCCUUCGGGUUGUAAAGCUCUUUCGGCCGGGAAGAAAUCGCACGGGCUAAUACCCUGUGUGGAUGACGGUACCGGAAUAAGAAGCACCGGCUAACUACGUGCCAGCAGCCGCGGUAACAC